GCUUCCGGUGCCGGAAGGACAGAGAAGAAACCCGAACCAAAAGGCGAAGGGUGUGGUACUGACGGUAGCUUCAACGGGAACGACAACGGCGGCACCCUCCAGCAAGCAUUUCGGA
rnacentral:snRNA from 1 species